UUACUUCUAUGGAAUGUAUUAGUGUGUUUCCCUUUUUUACUAAACAUCUGUACAUUGUUGUUUAGAUGUCGUGAGAUCGCAAGUGUAUGUUUUUUUGGAAACUUUAUGAACUCUUUUGUACGGUUAUUUUUGUG
ensembl:ncRNA C25F6.13 ncRNA